UUCAAUCUUAUGAGCAUGCAAAUUAUAAUCAUUAGGCAGAUACAUGAGUCCUUUCAAUUUUCUGAUCGGCCUAAUUUAAUACUUGAUAGCAUUUAUGUUUUUAGAUGCUACCUAUCUGACUUAAGGCGAAGGGAUUGACAUUGUACCAUUUGAAAUGUCAUUUGCAGGUAUAUCAUUGCCUUAUAGCUUCUUUUUCUUGUUUCUAAUUUCCUCUCUCUAGUUGAUAUUUGGUUUAUUCAUUCACUCUAGUUUUGGAUGCAUUAGUGCAUGGAUAGCUAAACUAGUCAUUAUGCAGAAGUAUAGACUUGGACAGUAGACUUGGAAGCAAAGCUCUUCGGAACAAGACAGAGAGACAUUGAAACUUUGUUUCAACUUUUAAGUAGACGCAAAGAUUUCAAAUGUCAGAGUGGUGCUACAUUUUGGUUUAAGAUGUGGUGGUGAUCUAGAGUAAGAUUGAUUUGAUUACUGAGAUUGUUCCCUCCAAGUGAAUGCAUCUUUAAGAAAGGAUGUCAUACUGCCAAUAUCCAGUAUUCUUUAAGAACUGCCGUUUUCGGGAUCCCUUCUAUGUACGAGUCUGAUGACGAGGUGGCACUUGAAAUGGCUGUUUACAAAGUUGCAGCACAUUUGUUCUCAUAGCUUUGCAUUGCACUUGUAGAAUAUUCAGAGUAGAAGAUUGAAGGUUAAUCAUCUGUUACAAUUCUUCUUCUGCAAGUUCAAAUUUGUCAUUAUAGAAUGUUCACACUUGUGUAGUCACUUGUAUUAUGUAAUAUUU